ACCGUACUCCUACGGGAGGCAGCAGUGGGGGAUUUUGGACAAUGGGCGAAAGCCUGAUCCAGCAAUGCCGCGUGAGUGAAGAAGGCCUUCGGGUUGUAAAGCUCUUUUGUCAGGGAAGAAACGGUGAGGGCUAAUAUCCCUCGCUAAUGACGGUACCUGAAGAAUAAGCACCGGCUAACUACGUGCCAGCAGCCGCGGUAAUACGUAGGGUGCAAGCGUUAAUCGGAAUUACUGGGCGUAAAGCGUGCGCAGGCGGUUUUGUAAGUCUGACGUGAAAUCCCCGGGCUCAACCUGGGAAUUGCGUUGGAGACUGCAAGGCUAGAAUCUGGCAGAGGGGGGUAGAAUUCCACGUGUAGCAGUGAAAUGCGUAGAGAUGUGGAGGAACACCGAUGGCGAAGGCAGCCCCCUGGGUCAAGAGUGACGCUCAUGCACGAAAGCGUGGGGAGCAAACAGGAUUAGAAACCCGGGUAGUCCUUGAC
rnacentral:rRNA from 1 species